UAUAUACCAUAUGUAUCACAAUUCACAAGCAUGGUCGCAAUCAAAAAAAGAAAAAAUGUAUUACAUGGCUUUAACACUGAGACCGUAGUUUAAUCUGUGUCAGGGAGAGUGAGUGAUGGAUUCCAUAACAAUUUUCUUCCUAUGUUUGCUGUUGACUUGGUUCCUGUUUCAAGCUUUGAACUCAAUUAGAAAUGAACGUAAAUCAAGUAAAAGCAAGCUCCCACCUGGUCCAUGGCUGAAGCCAAUCUUCGGCAAUCUUUUUGAUCUUGGGGAUAAACCCCACAGAUCCUUGGCUACGCUUGCUCAGAUUCAUGGUCCUGUUAUGAGUCUUGAACUCGGCAGCUUAAUCACCAUCGUCGUUUCUUCGGAAACAAUGGCCAAAGAAAUCCCGCAAAAACAGGAUCUCUUAUUUUCUAACCGAACCAUUGUGGAUGCUGUCUGAGCCAGCCAACAUCAUGAAUAUGGACUGCCAUGGAUACCCGUGUCGCCACUUUGGAGAACUCUUCGCAAAGUCUGUAAUAUCCAUCUUUUCACUAGUAUGAAACUCGAUGCCAAUGAAUACCUGCGUCGGCACAAGAUUCAGGAACUGAUUGCUAAAGUUGGCGAAAAUUGUCUUAAAGGUGAAGCCAUCAACAUAGGCCAAGAUGCUUUUGAUACUACCAUUAAUUUGCUGUCCAACACUAUUUUUUCAGUGGAUUUGGUUGACCCAAAUUCAUCAAAUGCUCAAGAAUUCAAGAAAAUAGUUUGUGAUGCCAUGGUGGAGGCAGGGAGGCCUAAUUUGGCUGAUUAUUUCCUUUGCUUCGAAAGUUUGAUCCACAAGGUGUACGGCGUCGGAUGAUUGUUCAUUCCGACAAGUUGCUUAACCUUUUCGGCAGUAUGAUCGAUGAAAGAUUGCAAUCAAGAAAAUCUCGGGAUUUAACUACAUCAAAUGAUGUCUUGGAUAUUCUUCUUGAUAUUAUUGAAGGCGAAGAGCUUAAUAAAACUCAUAUCCAACAUUUGCUUUUGGGAUUUUACACUAAUUCCAUUCGGAGCUGGACGUCGGAUAUGCCCUGGAUUGCCUCUGGCAAACCGAAUGCUGCAUUUGAUGUUAGGAUCACUUAUAAACUGUUUUGAUUGGAAGCUUGAAGCUAAAAUUUCCCCAAAUGAGAUGAAUAUGGAAGAGAAGUAUGGGAUUGCAGUUCACAUGGCAACACCUUUGCGUGCAAUCCCUCUUCUUGUUUAAGAAUACUGUUUAAAAAUCAAAGUGUAAACACUCUUCGUUUGUAAUGUAUGUAUUGAUUUUAGGACAAUAUUGUUAAUUUUUAUACAAA